CCAAACUGAAAUUGGAGCCUGAACCACCCAACACCCAAAAUCCCCUCCCAUCGCCGCAUCCUCUCUCCUCCCGUUCCCCAUUCCUCCUGCUCCAUCUACGGCAGAUCCCGGCCAACUCCGGCCAGCCCCCCUGCCUUGCUGGCCACCAUCCCGACACUCCCUCAUCCUCCUCUCUCGAAUCCUCCGCGAGGAACAGCCAGGCCGCAUCACCACCUCAAACCCUAGCCUCCGGCUCUACAGAGCUCAAGUUUCGACCUUUGGGUCCAUGGCGGCGACACGGCCGCAGGACGGGGUGAGGCGGUUCGGUGGCGAUCUUAACGCGCAGACCGCAAUGGAUUUCUCAGCUCCAUGCGCGUGGCGCACCUGAAUCCUCUUUUUUGCCACCCCGCUCAAACCCUAGACCCGCCGCGGCCAAAUCCUAUCACCGCCCCAACUCCGGCAACCGAGAUCAUGUUGGCCACCGUGGAAGGCCAAGGACUACUACGAAGAGGGCCACGCGCCAGGAGGACAGCGGCAACGCCCCGACAAACAUGCUGCUGCUACCCCCCGUGAGCGAGGUUCAAAUCAUAUUUGGGCACCAAGCUGCUGCUUAUGGAACCAUACCAGGAGGUGGCGGCCAGCCAGGUGAGGAGGAGGCUGACUUCAUCGGUGACAUCUGCAAGUGCCGCGGGGAGGUGCUACAGUCGCUGAUGAUCGACGGCAUCUAUUGACUUGGUCUCCGGAAAGAGAAACUCACCGACGAGGAGGUGCGCCGUUGUCGUGACAAGGAUGCUGAACUGCUGCUUGUUGCCUACACCAUCCGCGUUGAAGGCCUCCUGAAGCUCUUGCCUGUGCUCACUGAUCCGACCUGGCACAACUCCGAUGGGCUGCUGUUGCCAAUGACUUGCAGCUGGUUCAAAUCAUAUCAGAGGAUGAGAAGGACAGACUCAAUGGCGUUGCAAGAGGAAGUCUCUACGGUGGCCGCCAAUCAGCUAUGAGGUCUUCAUCAAUAGCAUCUCACCUACCAGGAGGUUACCGCCGCCACCAACCGUCCAUUCUUUGUGUAGGUUCAGUGCACGCUGCCAUGCUUGUUUGGGUUUAACUGAAUCUGUUGCAUGCCCUCAUGGUUAUGAAUGAAUGAAUAAAACUGAAUAGCCGCUUGAUGCAAUCCUCUCUUUCUUGGACAACUCGCUUUUGGGCUCUGAAUUUUGUCAGCACUGUCGGUUACAACUCUUAUAUGAAAUGGCUAGAACAACAUAUGAUCGUCAAUGAGUUUCCACUAUAAUUUCUCCAACUGUAAUUUGCCAGAUUAGUAAAGUUGCAUAUCUAUGAUAUCUUUUAAGUUUGUUUCUUCUUGCACUCGAUAAUCAUGUUUAGAAUUUAAUUGCCACCAUUGUUGAGGUCUCUCUUCACCACCUCCUCCAUG